rnacentral:tRNA from 1 species
UAUAAUUUGAUGUAUGUUGCAUAAAAAUUUUUGAUAUUUUUUGAAACAGUUAAAUUCUGUUAAUUAUAA